UUGGUGCGACAGGCUUUAGGGUAUCCCCGUCAAUUCGAAAGUGUCGCCGGCACCACAUGCGUGGGCCGACUUGCAUAGCGAUCCUAGAAUUGUUUAAAGUCGCCUAGAUCUACCACUUGCGU
rnacentral:rRNA from 1 species